GAGUACGAAGGUGAAAAACUAUGUGUGAUCGGUGUAAGAACCCACAAGACCUCUACUCAACAAGUUGCUGCUUUUGCGCUGGAUAAUGAUGAAGAGUCGUGGUUUCAGGCCUACUAUGAAAAAGUCCGGGCAUUGCUAACCAGAAGUGACAUAGACGAUCCAAAGGAUAAAUUCUUCCUUUCUUCAGUGGGAACUGAGCGACAUACUGUUUCACGAGACAUCAAGAGCUACCAAUCAAAGUAUAACCUCCCCGAUAUCUCCAGUCAGGUGGUCAGGAAGGUCUGUGAAACAUGGACGCUUGCAAGGUACACUGAUCCUGAAAAGUCUCUGUUUGCAAAGUACUUGGCACACACAAACUCCACGGCGGACAGGCACUACCGAGAGAAAGUGCUGGAUGACAUCUGUCAUGGUUACAAGCUGGUGAAGAGAUCUUGUAGUAGUGAUGAGGGCCGGACCCCAUCUGCC